rnacentral:lncRNA from 1 species
AAUGCAAAAGAACCUGUACAAGUUACUUUUACUUUGUAACCAUUAGGUAAAGUUACAAGAUAAGGAACAGUCAAAGGUAUGAUGUUAAAGAGUAGGUGUUUAUCAUGUGUCAUAUGAUUAGAUGCCCCUGAAUCAAUGAUGCAGGUGACAGAAUUAAGAUGUGUAAGCAUGCAUAAUUUGGAAUAAGAAACAAGACUCUCAGUUAACAUUGUACCAGCAAAAUUAGCAGCACACAUGGGAGGAAGAGCUUGACCACUGGAAUCCCCUAACUUGGUCUGUUGCAACAGGCUCAUCAAUUGAUCAUAG